rnacentral:lncRNA from 10 species
CUUAGACUUUUUUUUUCUUUUUCAAAUUCAGAUGGUGAGAACUGGUCUGAAUGUACAAUUCAGUCUUACUGUUUUCCAUCAAGGUGUCACCAAUCUUCCAGUCUCCCAGGCAGAAGUUUUUGAGAGACAAAUGGAUGGAAAAACUUUUUGGCCCUCUUCCUUAGGAUCAGAAGAGCUUCAACCAGCACUACUACUUGAGGACCUAUGCAGUGUUUGUCCAUGAGCAUGGAAUGACUCAUACUGGCCUCAGAGUUAGGGACUCACUUUAAAGGAAAGGGGAUGCAGUAGUGGGCACAUGACUAAGAAAUCCACCGAUCCUCUCAUAUACUGCACCACCAGAAGCUGCUGGAUUAGCAGAGCAAAGGUCACAGAACGUUUUCCUGAAUCGGAUUCUGGGUUAAAGCUGCCAGUAGGAAGAAUUCACAUGAGAUUUCAAAGGUGGAAGAGAAGGAGAAGGUGUUUUUUUCUUGCAACAGUUUGGCUGGGGAGCUGAGAUCUUCACUGAGGGCUUCCUUUGGCUCCGGGUUCCCGUGGACAGGCAGCCGAUGUCAUCAGUGGUGGCUUCUCUGUGAUCACUAUACCACCAGGUCUCCUAAAGUGGCCUUCUUGACCUUUGCCUCCCCAGCUCUUUCAAUGGUUAUGUGAAACUCUAAUUAUGUACAUUAAAUAUCUUUCAGCUCAUAAUACAUAGAGUCAUUUCCCUCCCC